CUGCCUCUCCACUUCAGAACAGACCAGCCUUGGGAAGGGUUGGUGAGAUCCAAACUUCUAGUUUGCUUUUCAUGGCUGCCAUCUACUUCCUCCCCUUCUCCUCCACUUGUUCUUAGAGUUCUAGGCCACAAAUCUCUCCCUUACCUCCUAUCUGUGAUGUUCUUCCUCUGCUAAGCACUGUAAUCAAACUUAACUCCCUCUCUUCUUACUCCUCUAUUUCUGUAUUGAGUAGCUGUGUUCCUUGUCUCAGAUCUGAAAUUCUGUCGUGUAAAACUUGUUCAUGUUCAUGUUAAACUUGUUCCUUGUGAUGUAUGUGAUGUGUUCCAUGUACUAGAUCUUCUCCUUGUUGUCCUAG
rnacentral:lncRNA from 1 species